GAUGAACGCUGGCGGCGUGCCUAAUACAUGCAAGUCGAGCGAACGGACGAGAAGCUUGCUUCUCUGAUGUUAGCGGCGGACGGGUGAGUAACACGUGGAUAACCUACCUAUAAGACUGGGAUAACUUCGGGAAACCGUCGCUAAUACCGGAUAAUAUUUUGAACCGCAUGGUUCAAAAGUGAAAGACGGUCUUGCCGUCACUUAUAGAUGGAUCCGCGCUUCAUUAGCUAGUUGGUAAGGUAACGGCUUACCAAGGCAACGAUGCAUAGCCGACCUGAGAGGGUGAUCGGCAACACUGGAACGGAGACACGGUCCAGACUCCUACGGGAGGCAGCAGUAGGGAAUCUUCCGCAAUGGGCGAAAGCCUGACGGAGCAACGCCGCGGGAGUGAUGAAGGUCUUCGGAUCGUAAAACUCUGUGAUUAGGGAAGAACAUAUGGGUAAGUAAAUGUGCACAUCGUGACGGUACCUAAUCAGAAAGCCACGGCUAACUACGUG
rnacentral:rRNA from 1 species